rnacentral:rRNA from 1 species
GACGAACGCUGGCGGCGUGCUUAACACAUGCCAGUCGAACGGAAAGGCCCUGCUUUUGUGGGGUGCUCGAGUGGCGAACGGGUGAGUAACACGUGAGUAACCUGCCCUUGACUUUGGGAUAACUUCAGGAAACUGGGGCUAAUACCGGAUAGGAGCUCCUGCUGCAUGGUGGGGGUUGGAAAGUUUCGGCGGUUGGGGAUGGACUCGCGGCUUAUCAGCUUGUUGGUGGGGUAGUGGCUUACCAAGGCUUUGACGGGUAGCCGGCCUGAGAGGGUGACCGGCCACAUUGGGACUGAGAUACGGCACAGACUCCUACGGGAGGCAGAAGUGGGGAAUAUUGCACAAUGGGCGGAAGCCUGAUGCAGCAACGCCGCGUGCGGGAUGACGGCCUUCGGGUUGUAAACCGCUUUCGCCUGUGACGAAGCAUGAGUGACGGUAAUGGGUAAAGAAGCACCGGCUAACUACGUG